CAUGCACCGGUGGGGUCCCUCAGCCUGGCCUGCGCCCUCUCACAAUCCAGGACCACUCAGGGAUGUCAGAGAGUCAUUUUGGCCUGAUCCCGCAGGCCAGGCUGAGGGACUCCACUGGUGCAUG
rfam:Myotis brandtii contig197331, whole genome shotgun sequence.